rnacentral:rRNA from 1 species
UGGGGAAUAUUGCACAAUGGGCGCAAGCCUGAUGCAGCCAUGCCGCGUGUAUGAAGAAGGCCAUUCGGGGCUUUGGUUAAAGAUACUUUCAGCGAGGAGGAAGGUGUUGUGGUUAAUAACCGCAGCAAUUGACGUUACUCGCAGAAGAAGCACCGGCUAACUCCGUGCCAGCAGCCGCGGUAAUACGGAGGGUGCAAGCGUUAAUCGGAAUUACUGGGCGUAAAGCGCACGCAGGCGGUCUGUCAAGUCGGAUGUGAAAUCCCCGGGCUCAACCUGGGAACUGCAUCCGAAACUGGCAGGCUAGAGUCUUGUAGAGGG